CCGAGCGGCCCCGCGGGGGAAGGACCGCGUCCGCCCCCGGUGACCCCGCGGCCGCCGGGCAGGCAGCGGUGAGUUCCUCCGGGACUCUCCCAGACCGCGCCCACUCCUUCCCGGUACUCAGAACGACCACCCGCAGAUUGAUCAAACUACUUUAACUGCAAAGGGUCCCAGGACACCCUUAUCUCAUAUAUUUGUGUGUGAAUGUAUAUAUCUACCUAAAGUUGAUGUUGAACCCCAAUUUAAGAGAGAGAGAGAAUGUGUGCACCAGGGCCUCCAGAUGCUGCAAACGAACUCCAGGCUGUGAGAAAACCUGCCUGGUACCACAGCGUCACACAGUGCUGGCACCAGAGAAGUCUUGGGACACAAAACUGGAUUUAGGUGCAUGUUUGAAGUGAGGCACUGUUAGCCCAGAGCAGGGUUCAACAUCCACCAGAGAUGUGGCUGGAAUCAAGUUGCAGAGGUGUGCCACAGUACACAGAAGCCUCUUAUAAGCCUGCAUCAUACACUGUUGGACCUGUAUAAAUCUAUUUCCUUCAUCCUUUCAGUAAUCAGAAUGCUGUGUUCAGGAUAAGUCUGGUAAAAGGGAUUUUAUAAAAGAUUGUACUAGAAGCUGUAUGUUUAACACUUUUAACCUUGAUUCAUAUUUGUUUAUAGGAAAAAGUAACAGUGGAACUUGUAAAAUUGAAAAAAUUGAUUCUACUUAAAAAUUUUGAUCAUCAGGAAGAGAUAUCUUCUGUUCUCAUGUAAGCUCAGAAAUCAUCAGGAAUUGUUUGGAAAAAAUCUGAAGAAAUAAAAUUAUUUCUUGUGUCUCUUA